AGAAUGCCGCGUCAUGAAAGCAAACCCUCCAACUACUCCAGGCAGCAAGUCGUCUCCAACUCCACAGAAGAGUUCGGCAAAAAGCCCGGCUCCUGUCCGCCGGAGCAAGUCUCCUGCUGAUUCAGGUAACCAUCUGGAUGCAAAUGGCACCUCCAGCAGCCAACUGUCGACACCCAAAUCGAAGCAGUCCCCCAUCUCCACACCUACCAGCCCAGGAAGCCUCCGUAAGCACAAGGUAUUACGUUUCUUAUACCUUACUAAACCUCCUAUCCGCUCACUGCAUGACUAUAAAGUAGUGAUUCCCAAAGUGGGCGCUACCUCCCCCCGAAGCGAUCCAGGGGGGCGGUGAUGGCACCUAUUAGGACACGGGGGCGGGGCCAGAGGAGGGGCGGGGCCUCUUCCCAAGUGAUGGAAACAGGGCUGGGCACCUGAGGCGCCUGUUAGGACACAGGGGGCGGAGCUAG
rnacentral:lncRNA from 11 species